CGUGUCUUGCACGUCGUCGCGAACGUUCGCUUGCUUCCGGCUUCCGUAGUCACUUCUGUGGCCACCAGGGGGGAAAAUGACGGCGUGGAAGAUGUGCGGUAAGCAGAUGCAUAGCUUUACCCUCGUGGGAACUACAGAAGCCGACGUCACGUAACUGCGCUUCGCUGAACGGCUGUUGUUACGAAGAAGCAGGGGAUGAUCGUCCGGUAAGGGCCUUCCAACGCCAGAGGAGGAGCAGGACAGAUGUGCUUCCGAACGCAUUUCAGUUUGACUGGGAGUCGUAUGAAAAUGCAGCGGAGCUUUUUGUCCCCAUUGGUAAGGUUGGUUAACGGAGGUUAAAGAAUAUUAAAUAUAUUGAGGAAUUGAAAAAAUAACGGGGAUAAAACCUCGCGUCUACCUGAACGCAGCUUUACUUAUUUCUCUUUUGUUCAAGCAUCAAAUGUUAGCUUCAGAUGGAAAAUAAAUGUGACAAUAUGGGGGAAUUCCCCCUAAGUGUGGACACUUUAAAAAUGUGUGUGUUUAAAGACACAUUUCCUUAUUAUAAGAGGAGCCGUGUGAAAUCCCCAAGUUGUCUUCAGCACGUAGCAAGUCGCUUUCGGUUUUAUCUGUUUAUGAUGACUUCCUUGUCAUCGUCUCUUUGAUGAAACAGCCAUUUACUUUAGCGCUAGCGGCUAGUCCAAGUGGGCCCUAGGUCAGUAUGUUCUGGGAAAUCAAUCCAAUAUCAGAAAUAUCCUAAUGGUUCAUGUGAAUUCUACUUCAUGAACACAGCUGUCAGAUUUACACUAGAGGGUUAUUUCUAGAGAACCGUAUGGUUACAGCAGAUAAAAUUAGAAAUGGACACAGGAACAAUUUUCUCAGUAAAUGUAUUUCUAAUACUUCUAUUGAGGCCACCAGUAAAUAUUAAACCUUGUGAUAUUUAUUUGCACAUAAUGGCUGGAAUAUUUUCUAAAUACUAACAAGCCUUUGGCUGGUUUCUUGGCUUUCAAUGCCUUUUGGUACAUCCUUUUCUCAUCCACCCUUCCACUUUAUUACACAUGACUCGAAUUUAUAGACUAAUUUGCUUUGAUUUCUGCAUAUGUGAGGAUUACUUUGUGUGUUGCUAAUAUCCGUUGUGAAUUUCAUCUCAGUAGAAAGUAGGGGCAUCCCGAUACUGAUUUUUUUUUUUUUCAGACCGAGCACGAGUACUUUAGUUCAGAUACUUGCUGAUUGCAAGUGCUGAUACUGAGUAUACUGAUAUAGCUUUAUUUGAUCAUAAUCAACUGGAUUUUGGUCUUUUUGGUAUAAGCAUACAACGUGGCUCUAUACCUUUAAAGACAAUGUGCAUAUAUAUUUGAGAGUGGAUAUGUUUUAACGUAGUAGAAGACCGUUUUGGAACUUUGGGAUUUUAGCGCUUAAGCAGAUCAGCUUUAACACUGGAAGAGUUAUGUACUACAGGCAAGGCAUGUUCAUAACCUCUAACAGAACGUGACAAACCUGAGCUACCCCUUUAAGGUCGCUCCAUGAAUGAUAAUAUUUAAGUUGGUGGAACCUUCACAGGUGUUAGCUAAACGUUUUGCUUUUUAAACCCUUUCCAGAAAAUAAUCUGUGGAUGUUUAAAUAGAUCCUAUGUUACUCCUCCUGAGGAACCUGCCUGCAGCCUACACCCAGCUCCAUGCCUUUGAGUUAAGUCCGUGGCAGAUAUAGUUAAGCCCAAAAUGAUUUACAGCCCUAGAAGACUUAUGUUAGUAUUUUUAAAAUAUUACUUUUAAACGAGUUUCUUCUGGCAGGAAGUAAUAGCAACGUUCUUGAGCGACUCGUCCUUAGUGCUGGCUUUAAUCUGGUAGAGAAUCAGCGGAAGCAGCUAAAGAUUAGGGUGAUUGCUUGGAGGCCUUUCAACCUUGGAGGCUUGGUGCUAAUCACCAACAAAAAAAUCUUUGAAAUAUGAGUGGAAAAAUACAAAAAGAUGGUCAGCAAUUUUAGGACAGGUUGAAUUGCUGUGAUGCCAAUGAAGAUUAGACCUUGGGCUAUUGAGAAGGAUGUGCACAUUUGGCAUAAUAUUUUGAAUAAAAUGUAAAACAAGAAUGAAUUGAAGCCUUCCAUUUACAUUUUUCAGUAUAUUUUGGGAGAUGCCGCUCUCAUUUUUUAUCAGAAACAAAUGCAAAUGAUUUAAAAUCAAAAUCGUCCAGGGGUCGGAAUAAUUUAGGUUUAACUCUUAUUGUCUGUAAAAGUGCUGAAAGCCUGAGUUCUUUUAAAUCAAGAUUAAAAACACAUUUGUUUAGGAUUGCCUUCGACUGUUCUAGUUAAACUGUUUCACUGAAAUAUAAUU